GAUGAACGCUGGCGGCGUGCCUAAUACAUGCAAGUCGAGCGAACGGACGAGAAGCUUGCUUCUCUGAUGUUAGCGGCGGACGGGUGAGUAACACGUGGAUAACCUACCUAUAAGACUGGGAUAACUUCGGGAAACCGUAGCUAAUACCGGAUAAUAUUUUGAACCGCAUGGUUCAAAAGUGAAAGACGGUCUUGCUGUCACUUAUAGAUGGAUCCGCGCUGCAUUAGCUAGUUGGUAAGGUAACGGCUUACCAAGGCAACGAUGCAUAGCCGACCUGAGAGGGUGAUCGGCCACACAGGAACUGAGACACGGUCCAGACUCCUAAGGGAGGCAGCAGUAGGGAAUCUUCCGCAAUGGGCGAAAGCCUGACGGAGCAACGCCGCGUGAGUGAUGAAGGUCUUCGGAUCGUAAAACUCUGUUAUUAGGGAAGAACAUAUGUGUAAGUAACUGUGCACAUCUUGACGGUACCUAAUCAGAAAGCCACGGCUAACUACGU
rnacentral:rRNA from 1 species